UUGUCUACGCAUAAAAUGUGACCACAAUCACAUCCUAUACGGGCAGAAAUAACUAUCAACAACAAAAACCCUAUCCGGUCCAUGUACAGACUAAAGUAACAUGGAUCAUUGUUUAACAGAUUAAUGGUGAUGAUGAUUCAUUCCAUGUUUACAAGUGGAGGAAUAUGUCUAUAUUUAGUACUUAUUACAAAUCACAUCCUUUGUUUUCAUUUUUAAACCCCCAAAAUCAGAACUGAUAAAAAAACUAAUAUUAUUGUCCUUAAAUAUUGUUGUAACAGUAGUAAACUAUCAAUUUUUUCUUUUUCUUUUUCUAUGUUAGAAUUAUCCCCUAACUGGCCUCCAAUGUUGUUAACUUCCUUGAGUUAAGUACAAACUGGUCCUUAAAGGAUAGAAACAAUGGACGUAUUUGUUUGUUUUGUACAAAACAGGGAAGUCGUGGAUUACUUUUAUUACUGAAUAUCAUUUCUGCUCACCUGAUAUAUUGAUAUUGACACUAAACAAAACGGACAGGAAGAUGUCCAGUGGUAGCUAACUUUAUUCUAAGAGCUUCCUCUUCAUGUAUCAUAACGAUAUAUUCAGCAUGUUCAGCAGGGCUGGCAGAACCAGCCAUUUUCAAAAGGGGGGUUUCCCAGGAUAAAGGGGGAUUCUGACAAUAUGUCCAUAUUCAAAUGGAUUGAUCGUCCAAAAAAUUAGGAAGG